rnacentral:tRNA from 1 species
GGGGAUUUAGCUCAGCGGUAGAGUGCUUGCCUAUUGAGCACAAGGCCCUGGGUUCGGUCCCCAGCUCCG